rnacentral:rRNA from 1 species
AGUUCGAUCCUGGCUCAGAUUGAACCUUUGGCGGGAUGCUUACCGCUGAUCGUUUGGCAGCACGGACUUGGUCUGGUGGCGAGUGGCGAACGGGUGAGUAAUGUAUCGGAACGUGCACCUAGUAGCGGGGGAACUGCGCGAAAGCGUAGCUAAUACCGCAUACGCCCUUCGGGGAAAAGCGGAGGACCUUGGGCCUCGCACUAUUAGAGCGGCCGAUAUCGGAUUAGCUAGUUGGUGGGGUAACGGCUCACCAAGGCGACGAUCCGUAGCUGGUUUGAGAGGACGACCAACCACACUGGGACUAUAGAGACACAUUGAACUCACGGGAGGCAGCAGUGGGGAAUUUUGGACAAUGGGGGAAACCUGAUCCAUACGCUCCGCGUGUGCGUGAAGGCCUUCGGGUUGUAAAGCACUUUUGGCAGGAAAGAAACGGCACGGGAUAAUACCCCGUGCAACUGACGUACCUGCAGAAUAAGCACCGGCCUAACACAUGCCAACAGCCGCGGUAAUACGUAGGGUGCACAAGCGUUAAUCGGAAUUACUGGGCGUAAAGCGUGCGCAGGCGGUUCAGGAAAGAAAGAUGUAAAAAUCAGAAACAACACUUUGGAACUGCAUUUUUAACUACCGAGCUAGAGUGUGUCAGAGAGGUGGAAUUCCGCGUGUAGCAGUGAAAUGCGUAGAUAUGCGGAGAGACACCGAUGGCGAAGGCAGCCUCCUGGGAUAACACUGACGCUCGUACCGAAAGCGUGGGGAGCAAACAGGAUUAGAUACCCUGGUAGUCCACGCCCUAAACGGUGUCAACUAGCUGUUGGGGCCUUCGGGCCUUGGUAAGCGCAGCUAACGCGUGAAGUUGACCGCCUGGGAGUACGGUCGCAAGAUUAAAACUCAAAGGAAUUGACAGGGACCCGCACAAGCGGUGGAUGAUGUGGAUUAAUUCGAUGCAACGCGAAAAACCUUACCUACCCUUGACAUGUCUGGAAUCCGAAAGAGAUUUGGGAGUGCUCGCAAGAGAACCGGAACACAGGUGCUGCAUGGCUGUCGUCAGCUCGGCAUCGUGAGAUGUUGGGUUAAGUCCCGCAACGAAGCAACCUGUCAUUAGUUGCUACGAAAGGAGCCUCUAAUAAGACUGCCGGUGACAAACCGGAGGAAGGUGGGGAUGACGUCAAGUCCUCAUGGCCCUUAUGGGUAGGGCUUCACACGUCAUACAAUGGUCAGGACAGAGGGUCGCCAGCCCGCGAGGGGCCAAUCCCAGAAACCCGAUCGUAGUCCGGAUCGCAGUCUGCAACUCGACUGCGUGAAGUCGGAAUCGCUAUUAAUCGCGGAUCAGCAUGUCGCGGUGAAUACGUUCCAGGUCUUGUACACACCGCCCGUCGCACCAUGGGAGUGGGUUUUACCAAGUAAGAUAACCUAACCGUAAGGAGGAGGGCGAUUACCACGGUAGGAUUCAUGACUGGGGUGAAGUCGUAACAGAGUAA